rnacentral:rRNA from 1 species
CCUACGGGGGGCAGCAGUUCUUACUAUUGGUCCAUGGGCGCGAGCCUGAACCAGCCAAGUAGCGUGAAGGAUGACUGCCCUACGGGUUGUAAACUUCUUUUAUAAAGGAAUAAAGUGAGGCACGUGUGCCUUUUUGUAUGUACUUUAUGAAUAAGGAUCGGCUAACUCCGUGCCAGCAGCCGCGGUAAUACGGAGGAUCCGAGCGUUAUCCGGAUUUAUUGGGUUUAAAGGGAGCGUAGAUGGGUUGUUAAGUCAGUUGUGAAAGUUUGCGGCUCAACCGUAAAAUUGCAAUUGAUACUGGCAGCAUUGAGUAUAGUUGAGGUAGGCGGAAUUCGUGGUGUAGCGGUGAAAUGCUUAGAUAUCACGAAGAACUCCGAUUGCGAAGGCAGCUUACUAAACUGCCACUGACAUUGAUGCUCGAAAGUGUGGGUAUCAAACAGGAUUAGAUACCCGGGUAGUC